CUAAGUACUAGUGCCGCAGGAGUGCACAUCUGAGAAAACCCUGUUGUACUCGUACUUAACA
rnacentral:pre_miRNA from 1 species